AAGAGAGGGCAGAAUAAGAGGGAGGGAGGAAUAGCCAUCUGUAUCAGCUUCCUAUUUGCUGCUAUUGCAAGUUGCCACAAAACUGGGGGCAUUAAACAACACAUUUUUAUUGUCUUAUAGUUCUCAGGUUAGAAGUCUGACAGGGGCCUCACUAGGCUAAAAUAAAACAUCAGCAGGGCCGCAUUCCUUUCUGGAGGUUCUAGGGGAGAGUCUAUUUCCUGCCUUUUCCAAUUCCUGGACAAUGUCUGCCUUCUUCAGCUCAAGGCUCUUUCUUCCAUCUUCAAAACUGGCAGUAUUGUGUCUCUCUUACUCUCCCUCUGUCAUCAGCUAUUUCUGACCACAACUGGGAGUUCUCUGCCUUUAAGGACCCAUGUGAUUAAAUUAGGCCUACCCAGACCUAAAUAACCCAACUAGGUCUCAAAGUCCUUAACUUAAAUCACAUUUUCCUCUUAGUGAACCUAACUGUAUAGGUUAUAGUUAUUGAAAUAACAUAUUCAGAGGUUUCAAGUAUUAGAGUGUAAACAUCUUCUGCCCACCGUACUACCUCAAAGCACGUUCUUCCAAAUGACACUUUCCCAAUCAUCUCUCUGCCGUGAUGUUACUAUGGUUAUCUUUAUAUUAUGAAAAGAUGUUAGACAAGGCCAUGUGACUAAACAACCAUGAAACCUCUGUAUAAGGUAUGAGUCUCUUUUCCCACCAUACCAGUAUGUAGGCUUGCUACCCAAGGAUACCUUGUGCUUCUCUGCAGGCAGUAUACUGCCCAAGUGCAAAGGAUGCCCUGAAGUUGCUCAGUCCCUAAACUACAAAAGCUUACAAGGCAGUCCUGCCCCCUGUAUCCCAGGCACCUGAGGUCAGAAUUUGUCUACACCUCCAGCUAUUGCUCAUGAUUAAGUUGAAUCUUUGGAAAUACUUUCUUUAGCUUGCAUUGUUCAUAAAACAGUAUGCCCACAUUAAUGCCUUAUGAUAAAAUUAAUCACCCUGGUGAAUUCAAUCAACCUGUAGGGGAAAAUAAAUUCGAAAAAAUAUACCUUAAUAGCUAUGGAAUAAGACCACUUGUAUAGCAAGAAGCUUAAAAAUCAACUCCAGUCAUUCAACUUUGUGCCCACACAGUGUCACUUCCACAGUAAGAUUAAGGAACCCAGAACCCAGAACUAUAGGAGGGAGGGGAAAUGGGGAAAAGCUGAUUUGUGGCACUGGGCAAGAAAGCAGGGAAUGGAGUAAAGAGAAGCUAAAGGAACUCUCACAGGAAUACUUUUCUGUUGCACCUGAAGCCCAAUGAGAAAGGUUUCAAAUAUGAAUCACUGACAACCGCCUGCGAGGCUGUUAUGCGUAAUCCUUCACAUUCUGAGUAUGUCAUGGUACUCCAUAAAAAAGCUUAUUGUAUAAGCUGUUCUCACUCUCCUAAGCUCAUUCUCUUCAACAAUGCCAGAAAUAUAAUAACAGGUAAGCAACCAAGAAAAUAAGUGACUAACCAUUGUAUAAGAUUGCAUUUUGCUAAAGGUCAAGACAAAUUAUCAUGAAAUCCUUAAAGAUGCUGUUACAUGGUUGCUGGGGACAAAAGGUUUCCUUCCAGGAGAGCUUCUUAGAAGUAGACGCUGCUGUGUUUCAAUCCUCAGCUAACUUUUAGUUAAUGACUCUUGCCUUUUCUCCUCCCAGCUCUGCUUAUUAAAAGGAGAAUGCAAUCUGGAGUGUGUGCUGUCAGGAUGAACAGCAGGGUCAGUCACUAAUCCCAAAUUGUAUGCCCCCAGGAUGCCUGCUACAGAAUGAGGAAAUGCUUACGUUUGAUUAACCUUCCAGUGAGAGAAAGGGAGGCAUCCAGGGGUCUGUAGCUACAUGACAUGGUAUAAUAAUAGUUUUAAAAUAUGGCAUUCCUAGGGGAUGCAAGAAAAGUCACAGCACAGGGUGCUAACUUGGUGUAACGAAUGAAGAUUUCAUCUCUACAAUAGCAAGCAAGCCUUUGGGGGAAGAACAUCGCCAACUUGGGCAUUCAUUUUCUUCAAAAUAUUUAUAACAAUACAAUAAUCCCUUAUGUCUGUGUGAUGCUCUACAGAGUGCACAAUACUUCAAGGGCUUAACCCCAUUUGAUCUUCACCACUAUCCUGUGUGUCAAAGGGUUAGAAUCAAGGGGCACUUUCCCAAUUAAAAAAAAAAAUCCUCCUCGUUAGUGUCAAUGCACUUGGUUCUCGUUCUGGCCUUUUCUUUAACAAUUUCUUUAGCAAAAAGGGAAGAAACAUCAUUGAGUGAGGAAGGGGGAUUAUUGGGGUGGUUAGGGGAUAGGUAAAACCAUGCAGUUUGGAAAAGACAUCUCCUAAAAACAGGUUCAAGAAAGUAAAACGUCACUUCUAUUUCUGGGGCUCCAAGUACAAUAAGAAAAAAAAAAAUAUCAGGUUUAUGAAAAUAGUUUAAUCCUGUUGUUUAAUAUAGCAUUAUUUAGUUAUUAAGUCAAAAGCUGAAAUUUAAUAUUUUUGUGAAUAGAAAGCUGGGCCACUGCCCCUGUCCCCAGACACCCAGCAAUAGAUGCUUCCCUCAGUGUGCUACUACGAGAUGACAGCAGACUAAUCAGAGGCAGCUCUUCAAUCUCUCAAAAAAAUGUGCCUUUGUAUUUAUUACCCUUCAGUCCUUGACUCCAAGUCCAUAUAUUGAACAAAGUCCUACUGCCUUCAAGACCCAGGCAGAUAGAUACCAUAUUCACCAUGAGGUCUUCCCAACAGCAUCUUUUUUUCUGUGUAUUCUAGUGGGUCAAUUAUGACUACCUUGUUAUAAAUCAGAUGUAUGCUCUACAUGCUCUCUUUCCUAUUCAACGAUGAGUUCAGAGUAGUCAGGGAUGGAGUAAAACACCUAGCAUUUUGUAAGUACUCAUUUUAUGUUUGCUAAAUAAAUUGUCAAAUGGAAAAAAGAAAGCAAGAAGAGUUACCAUAAAAUAAUCAAGCCCAGUGACACCAGGUUUGAUCAAGUACAUGUUGGGAAACCUAUGAAAUACAUGUUUAUACUGAGCAGUUUUCAUAUACUGACUCUUUAACCCAAGAAUUGUCAUCAUUAUCUUUCAACAUGGUCAUUUUACUGCAGAUGUGAUGUAGAUGACUGAGGUAAUGCAUAUUUUUAUAACUGUUUAUUCCAGCCAGUUGUACCUGAUUUAUAAGAACUUCUUCAUUCUGAGUAAAAUCUGGUGAGAGGAAGAGCAGCUUAAAGUCUGCAGUUUCCUCUCCUGCCUCAUGUCCCACAGGUUAAUACCAACAAGGUGUAUUUCCCAGUAAUUCCUUUCUACUGUAAAGUCGAAAGCACCUUGGGUCUUCCACAACUGGGCUCCUUAAACCAGUGAUGCUUUGAAUUCUUACCCACUUACUAGUAUGUCUUAAACCUGUGACAACAGAUGAAAAUCCACUCUUAUAAUUUAGUUCAGUCAGUUCAGGCACACACUGUUUAAAACCACCCUUAGUCAGAGAAAGAAUAAAGAAGGCACGUUAUUGAUAUUGGAUUCAAUUUUCCAAACCUAAUGAACAAAAGUGUCUGUGAUUACAAACCAAAUAUUCAUGCAAAAUCUAGUAGGAAUCUGUCUUUCUACAGAAAAUUUCAAAUUCCUUUGUGUCAUAACUUUAGUUUAAUAAAUAUGCUCAAGUAGACUUCAUUGCAGACAGAAAGCAACUGCGAUAAGAAAUAGUAAGGGGCACUUUUGCUUGAGUUGAGGUUGUACAAUUUCAAAUGGAAAUACAGCAUGAAUUCUUUGGAAAGGAGAACUUGCUGGAAUGUUAACUUUUUGGUCAUCAGAGGGCAUUUCUGGACAUUUGUCUUUAUCUCUAAUUUUCUGCACAGCUAUCUGUUACCCUGAUAACAGUUUGUUGUAUGGCUGCUCUCCAUUACCCAGUGCUAUAGUUUUAUGAGCCAUGCAGAGAAAGUGGAGGAGCCUCCUCGGGAGUGUUAUUUUGUUGUUGUUGGUUUUCAAAGGAAUUCAAACCUUUGUUCAGGCAAAGUGGGAAGGGGGGUGUUUUAUUAUUGGUUAGCCCCAAAAUGCAGCAGUUGACUGGAUUCAAGCCAUGUCUUAAGUUUUCAAGAGAUGAUUUGUUUUAAAGCGGUCUUAGCUAUUCAAAUAACUAUGAAAUGUUUAUGACUUAUUUCUCAAAAGGAAAGGGGAAAAUAUUAAGCAUGUGGAAGAGUAUUGUUCCCUUCCUUUAAAAAAAAAGGCCUUGAAAUAUAUUUUAAAAUAUUUUAUGAGGUCACACUGAAAAAAGAGUAAUUGGAAGAAAAAUUCUGCUUGUCUAAGCGAAGAGCACAUUUGUAGCGGUAGGGUAAAUGUUUUAUCGAUUGAGAAGCUGGGAAACUCAAGUCAUUACUCACCAUGGGCUAAAGAAUAAUUGCUAAUGCUCUGGCGGAAAGAUUAAAAACAGUUUCUGGAAGUAUUUCUUACAAUGAUCAAUGGUGUAUCAUCCCAGGCCAUUGGAUCUUCAAUAACAUUUUUCCCUUUUGGGAUACAAUCAAUUUUUAUAAUAUGACUCAUUUGCCAGUGGGCAUGCUUUCUUCAUACGAUGAAAAGGCACUUAUGCAUCUUAUAUUGUUGAAAAGUUAUCUUAUACAGCCAGAGAUCAGGCUGCGGUAUAGAAGACUCACUGGAAUCCAUCUCUAUUUUAAAAGGUUUGGGAAAUCAUCUGGGGUGGGGAAAUGAGGGGGUGGAGGAGACAGUUGUUAGCCUCUUGGUUAUUGCUUUGUUAACCCUUUGAGAAUGCAUUUAGCACACUCUAACAGCAGUCAAGAUCAUCAUAAUACAAGGGUGGUGACUGAGGGUGCUAUUUUAGAUUUAAGCAUAUGCCACAGUGAGCUUGACUCAUCUGCAACACUAAUUACCCUCGCAGAGCUCUUAGGUCAAGGGUUGCCUUACAGCUGUCUACUGGCUGUACAUAUCUGACAAGGUCUCAGCAUCCUGUGGCAGAGCUCAGCUUUGGUCCGCUACUGCUGAAUCUAUCAGUUUAUCUCUGCUUUAAUAAAUAACAGCUUCAGUCAGGAGAGGAUGUGCUUAUUCCAAAAUUUCUCACAGGAGAGAAAGUGCUGAAAGCUUGGGCACAGGACGUUUCAGGUUCCACUUUGCCAUUGGACUUGAGUUAAGGGAAAUGCAUGGCCCCAUCACCAGGAUCUGCCAAAUGUAGAG
rnacentral:lncRNA from 1 species